CUCACUCUUACACUACUAAGCUUACACUUUCACCUCUGCAAAAAAACAAGAAAAUCCAUUUCUUAGCUCAUUUUCUUCUAUAAAUUUUUAGGGUUUCAAAAACACUUUUACUCAUUUUCAUUGUUGGGUUCAGAAAACACUUAACAAAUUUUCAGGGUGGACUUCCUUAAAGAGAUGGAUUUGUUCAUAUGGGGUCCAUCGUACUCUCAAGAUGAAUACAGUUUUCCGGCAAAUAAAUUGGCUCAAAACUCUUAUUUCAGUCAAACGCUUGACAUUAUAGAAGAAGAUGCCUUAAAUGAGAAAUGUUGUGUGCAAGUGCUAGAGAUACUCAUCACAAAAGCUGAUACGGAAAUCGCUGAACUUGAAGAUGAUAUAGUGAUGCUACAAAGUCAACUAGACCGUACUGAUGAAAAAUGGUUGGACAAGUGCGUUGCUGCUUUAAAUGAAAAGAUUGAUCACCUUAGUAGUUCGAUAACCGCCUUAAAAAAUGAAAAUGUCCAAGCUUCUGGUGUUCACUUACAAACAAAUAGAAAACCGUCAGAGAAAAUCCAUGAGAUAUUAGGGACACCGCUGAUAAAGUUCUCUUCUCCACAAGAUAAGCAGCCUGCGGACUCUACUCUUGGAAGUCCAAAGCUAGCUGCAGAUGUUCUUAUCAAAGUUGAAGCAACAGAUGACUAUGAUUUAAAGGAUUUAGAGACUGUUGAAAUGAAUGUCGGUUUGACUGUCCAGGCCGAUGUUACGGUCCAGACACCAUCUGUGGUUCAAGAAGAAAAUCAUCAAGAAAUAAAUGAACAGGAAGAACACACAAACACCAAAGGCUCCUGUACAAAGGCUCUUGUCUGGGCUGGUGACGAGUCCACUUUGAAGGAUUUGAAUGAGUCUGAUAUUCCUGGAAAACAGAUUGAUGCAAGCAAACAAGAAAAUCCUUCACAUCUCAAAAAUUUUGCAUGUGCUGUUUUAAAGAGUGCAAGAACAAAGCCUCUAAGAGACAAAGCUCAACUUUGUGGAACGUCAAAGAGGAAGAUCAACAUGUCAGACGAUUUCUCUGAGGAUGGAUUGAUGCAACAAAGUUCUAAUGACGUCAUAACCAUAAAUUCAUCUCCAGAAGUCGAGGAAACUAGCAUUGGAGAAGGACCUAAGCUUGCAGGAGCAAUUCUAGUGACCAGUGUAACUGCUGUAAAGCAACAGCCCGAAGACUCAGGAGAUGAACAGACACCGAAUGGAGGGAAGGUUGGUCAGACUAGUGAAAAACACACCUCAAGUCAGUUGGUGAGCAAAAAGCAGACUGGUGCAAAAUCUUUUCUUGUAAUAAAGGGAGAAGGUCUGUUAAAUCCCGAAAACAAAGACGGAAGCAAGCAACCGGAGAAAUCCAACGGUGAACAGCAAGUGAAGCAAUCCUGCAGAAGUCAAGUACUCGAAAUAAGUAAAUCUAACUCAACGUUGUCCCUGAAGCUAGAAGGUCAGAGGCUGAACAUCAAAUGGAAAAUGCCUCCAAAACCGGUUAAAGAGCCAUGUCUUGUCAAGGAAUUAGGAUUCAAGAAACCUUCUGGUCGAAAACCCAAGAGGCAGUUGAAGACUGAAAGCACUAAGGAGAAUGGAGGUGAUGUGUUCGGAGACAAAACAAUCAAGGAAAGUCGUUCACUACGUGAGGGAGCCAAAGGAACCGUUGAACCUCCAGAGAUCAGUUCGACUUCUUUGCUCCCUUUGAAGAAGAGAAGGACAACAAGUUUCACUGGACCAGUCCUCCAAGAGAAUGAGAAUUUGAGAAAUUUUCAGAAUAGGUUGGCAAAAUCGCAUAACAGAUCAAAUCGAAACCUUCAAGUCGUUAAAGCUGAGAAUGAUGAACUUCUUGAUUCUACAACAUUCAUUGUUCCAACUCCAAACAUAGCAGAUCUCGAGCAUAUGACAAAAAAUCAACUCAAGGCCGUGGCAAGGCAACAGGAUCUGCAUGGGGUAUAUAAACUUCGCAAAGCUGAGCUGCAAGAACGCCUUCGCUCUAAGCUUCUAGCUAAAGGUCAGUCAACAUAAAAGCAAUGUCUACAACCACUUUUUCGUCACUACAUUCUCAACCGAGGCAUAACAGAAUUGUUUACAAGUUCUUACGAGAAGAAAAGUUGUCUAUAGGAAAAGGGUGAUACUAGCAAGUCACGUUCAUACAAUCAACUGUACAGAGAAGUUGAAGUUUCGCUUAUAAAGAACAGAUACACGAGAAGAAGUAUAGAAAAACGCUGAUUUUAGGAAUCGUUCUAGCUGAAUUCUUCCUGGAAAGCUUUUCUAAUUUUGUCGAUAAUACGCUUCUUUUGGUACUGAGUUGAUCAUUACCAUGGUAAGAACUUUAUAAAGUUCUGCAGAAAUGCACCCAAGGGUGUGGAACCUAGCGGCCGAUGAAGUGGUUGAGAAUUGUGAAAUUUCAAGUUUGAGAUCUCAACGGAGGCAAAAACACUAGGCUAUUUCUUCCUAUUGAUCCAAGCUUUAGCGACAGAGUUAUUCGGUACUCGUGUUGGUGGAGGUAGUAGGUACUUGUGGAAUUAGUCGAGAUGCAAUCAAGUUGCACAAACUUUGUUGCAGUACUUAAUCAUUGUAUUCUAGUUCUUUUGUCCAUUGGGUGAGCACUUUUUGGUAACCUGCUCACUAUGCAAUAACCCGCAAACCGCAUAGGAGAUGGAUGUAAACUGCACUAGGCAAGCUCCAUGCGACGAGUUCAUGGCUAAGUGGCAAACGGAGGCUGGAUUCGAUCUCAGGUCUUCCACAUCUUCCACAUGGGAGACCCCCACCUCCCAACCACUCAAUCAUGCCCUUCCGCGCUAUUUCUUACUUUUAUUUUUCUCUUUCUUCUGAUUCGAAAGAAAUUCUAUCCUCGUGUUUGGAGUCUGGUGUUUGGAGUCUGGAGCACUCCAAGGUGUGGCCGAAUAGUCAAUGAAGUAAGAAGAAAAUGAUGAGGUUUUAAGUUCAAAUAAAGCAGAUGAACAAAGAUACUCCAUACUUUGAUGAGAGUAGCAGGCGAUUGUAAAAUAGUUGAGGUGCACACAAGCUUAUUCAAAUACUACCGUUAUAAUUUUUUUUGGAAGUGUUGGUCAAUGUACUUGUUAUACGAGCGCUUAACUACUGUAUAAUUUACGGAUUAGGUUCAUACAAUAUACCAUAUAUUGCAACGUGUUAACCCGUUUUGAAUUUAC